AGGGAUGUCAAUGGACUUUCCUUUGCAGGGGAACUUGCCCCAGACCUUGGGAAGCUUUCUCACCUAAGAUCUCUGAUUCAUGAAGAAUCAACUGGGUGGCAAACUAUUUUGACCUUCUAGUUCAAUCUUCCUAAGCUGAUGAUGCGACCUAAAUGUUGAUUUUGUUGAAAUUUGGGAGUUGGACUUGGUGAAGAAUCAACUGAUUUCAAACAAUUGUAGUUUAUGGUUGAAACUCCAUAUUGGGUCUCCCUCAAGCUUAAAUUUGAUGGCCUUCUCUGCUCUAUCUGGUGUUUCUUUCAACAUUUCAAGGCUCUUAUUAAGGUUAUGUAGGUGGAUUCUCGUUAAGAUGUCUUUGAAUUGUAAGUACUCUGCCUCUAAGCAGAAAAUGGGAACCAAUUUGAAGCUGACGAAGGCAAAGGAAUCUUUGCAUGGAUCUAAUAGAGUCUGGAAGUGGAGUAGACAUCUUCUAUUUCUGUGGCUUUUUGGUGUUUUCAUUGGGUUUAUUAGGUUCUUCUAUGGUUUGAAUGAUGGGGCUUUGAGGACAAACUAGGAGACUCUAGACUUGUGUCAACAACACAAAGCUAGGAUUUUGCUAGAACAUUUCAAUAUCAGCAAGGACCAACUUCAUGAAUCAGAUCAGGUGCUGUCUUUAUAUCUAUCUUAGAGAUUUGCUUCUUAAAUGGCUCCACUCUUUCUGGUUGUAGUUUUAAGUAACUUUUGUUGGUAAUAACUGUUUAUGUUAAUUAAUACUUGAGUUGGUUAGGAAGUUUGAGUGAACAAAGAAAGUGAUACAGAAUAGGAUUACAGUUGUUUCUUGCUGCAUCUUUGACAGGAUUAUAUUUGCUUAGUUCUAUAUUUGUGACAAAUGGUGGUCGCCUCGUCUGAAUUUUGCUACUGUGGAUUCUGAGUGCUUAUUAAGAUGCUAUCUUUUUGAGACAUUAUUAGAAGUCUUCUAUGUGCAGUAUUAUUUGGUAGGAAAUGCUUCUUGUAUGCUAAAGCUUCUAUAAAACGGACAAAAGUCAAAUCCACUAAAACAGUGAAAUUACCUUCAAAUGCUAUAUGGAACUAAUGGGUGUAAUUUUUGUUUUGUAGAUAACUUUUGGCAUGGACAGGUGGAUCUUCUAUUUUUGUGUAUGGGGGAUAAUUUACACUUUUGAAUAAUCCCACUUUUUUGUCGCUUUUUGUGUGAAUUUGGGUGAAUCGUACAUAUAACUUUUGGCGGGGUAUAAAAUACUUUUGACAUCAAA